rnacentral:lncRNA from 1 species
CUAGCUGAGAGAAUAAGAUGGGGCCCAGUGAGCACCUGUUUAAGAGGCAUCUCAACUCUGGAUAACUACGUGGGUCUCAGUUACUUCACUGAGAAAGAUAACAGAAAAUCAGAACAAAAAAGACAGUGGGACUUUAACCCCAUCCUUUUGGUUGGAAGCCAAUUAACUUCUUUAAAGCAAUCAAUGCCAGAAGCAUCGUUUAUUGUGUUCCAAGGCUUGGAAAUUCCUUCCCUAAUGACAUAGUAGAAACUCUGUCGCCACAGUUAAGAGUAGGCUAGAGACAAUUACUAUAUUUAAGACCUGCAUUGCAGGUUAUCAUACCCACAUCUGCAAGCUAUUCCUUUUGUAAAGCAUUUGGGGUAAUUUGCCACAGAAAACUCAUUGGAAAGUGCCAGCAACUACAUGAGGAUCUGUGACUGAAACUAUUCGACGUGGCUAGCAGAAGACAGACGUAUAACUUUCUUUUCAGCAGCUCCACACCCACCCCUGCUUCUUGGAGCCAGGCUCCUCUUAUCGACACAGGAAACCUAUAUUUGGGCUGGAUUGAAGGGGUGGUGAGGAACAAAUCCUCCAGCAGCCACCCACUCACUGGCCUGUGAAAAGAGAGAGGCCGUCCAGAGAGUUGGUCAGCCUGAGUGCUAUCCUCUGCACAAUCUCCCUGACAUUUAUAAAAGAAGAAAAUGAAAGAACAGGACUUCGGCACAGGAUGGCAUUUUCUAACAGAAAUCGGAGAACAUGCUGAGUUCCACUGAAUAUAGGACUGCAUCUGUGGCAUAUGUGGCCUUGAACAAGUGACAACUGCCCUGGGUCCUGGCUCCUUCAUGCAUAAAAUGGGGAUAACAUUGUCUAACCUUAAUGCCCUGGGGGGACUGGAAAGAUUAAAGUAAAUAAUAGAUUAAAGUAAAUAAUAAAGUAAAUAAAGCAAGCA